GAUGAACGCUGGCGGCGUGCCUAAUACAUGCAAGUCGAACGGUAACAGGUCUUCGGAUGCUGACGAGUGGCGAACGGGUGAGUAAUGCAUCGGAACGUGCCCAGUUGUGGGGGAUAACUGCUCGAAAGAGCAGCUAAUACCGCAUACGACCUGAGGGUGAAAGCGGGGGAUCGCAAGACCCCGCGCAAUUGGAGCGGCCGAUGUCAGAUUAGGUAGUUGGUGGGGUAAAGGCCUACCAAGCCGACGAUCUGUAGUUGGUCUGAGAGGACGACCAGCCACACUGGGACUGAGACACGGCCCAGACUCCUACGGGAGGCAGCAGUGGGGAAUUUUGGACAAUGGGCGCAAGCCUGAUCCAGCAAUGCCGCGUGCAGGAAGAAGGCCUUCGGGUUGUAAACUGCUUUUGUCAGGGAAGAAAUCCUCUGGGUUAAUACCCCGGGGGGAUGACGGUACCUGAAGAAUAAGCACCGGCUAACUACGUGCCAGCAGCAGCCGCGG
rnacentral:rRNA from 1 species